rnacentral:rRNA from 1 species
AGAGUUUGAUCAUGGCUCAGGAUGAACGCUNGCGACAGGCCUAACACAUGCAAGUCGAGGGGCAUCGGGNCGUAGCAAUACGUUGCCGGCGACCGGCGGAUGGGUGAGUAACGCGUAUGCAACCUACCCGUAGCAGGGGGAUAGCCCGUUGAAAGACGGAUUAAUACCCCGUAACACAGGGGCUCCGCAUGGAGAUUAUUGUUAAAGGGUCAUUUCUUUUUCAGGGAUGGUCCGGCUGCGGAUGGGCAUGCGUUCCAUUAGGUAGUUGGUGUAGGUAAUGGCUCACCAAGCCGACGAUGGAUAGGGGAACUGAGAGGUUGGUCCCCCACACUGGUACUGAGACACGGACCAGACUCCUACGGGAGGCAGCAGUGAGGAAUUUUGGUCAAUGGACGCAAGUCUGAACCAGCCAUGUCGCGUGAAGGAGGACGGCCCUAAGGGUUGUAAACUUCUUUUGCAGUGGAAUAAAGUUUGCCACGUGUUGGCGAUUUGCAAGUACGCUGCGAAUAAGGAUCGGCUAACUCCGUGCCAGCAGCCGCGGUAAUACGGAGGAUCCGGGCGUUAUCCGGAUUUAUUGGGUUUAAAGGGUGCGCAGGCGGGGAAUUAGGUCGGCGGUGAAAUUUCGGGGCUCAACCUCGACAGUGCCGUUGAAACCGUUUCUCUUGAGUGCGGAUGAGGUAGGCGGAAUUUGUGGUGUAGCGGUGAAAUGCGUAGAUAUCACAAGGAACACCGAUUGCGGAGGCAGCUUACUAAACCGUUACUGACGCUCAUGCACGAAGGCGUGGGGAUCAAACAGGAUUAGAUACCCUGGUAGUCCACGCAGUAAACGAUGAUUACUUGCUGUUUGCGAUACACAGUAAGCGGCGAAGCGAAAGCGUUAAGUAAUCCACCUGGGGAGUACGUUCGCAAGAAUGAAACUCAAGGAAUUGACGGGGCCCGCACAAGCGGAGGACAUGUGGUUUAUUCGAUGAUACGCGAGGAC